GUUUUUGAUAAUAUCACCGUCGUCUUAGUUAAAUAAAUUCCGCUGCUGCUAACGCCAGGAGUUUUCCUUUUCACGACCGCACAUAACCAGACAAGAGAGCUUCUUCCAAGUGUACGCAACUUUUAUACCGUCAACGAUCAACGGUGCCAGCUGUUGGUACGUUAAAGUUCAACGACCGUUGAUCGAAGCUCGUGAACUGAUCCCUCUGCAAUGCACCAGCGAAAGUCUAGCUUUAGGGCGAAUUCUACUUUUCCCUCUCAUGUGGAAGCUGGAACUUGUUCUUUCUUUAAGCUUCGCCCUAGUUCUACACCUUUUCCACAAAAGCUUUCUUCGUUUGACAGCUCGUGUUGUUUUGUUUUGAUUUUGUUCUAUUUUUUUUUUUACAACGUGUUGUGCCGGUGAACGUGUGUAUUUAAUUCUAUUAAUUAGAAAAUUAUUUUAAAAUUAUUUUAUUUUCCAAUAAAGUUCCAGCAAAAUAGAACACCCAACGAUAGCUCAAGAUAUGUGCAUUAUUGUUUUAUUCAAAUAUAUUUGUUAUGCAUUAACAAAUAACUUUCAUGCAAGUUCAGAAUUUGUCAAAUGCAAAAAUGACGUCGCUGAUGGCAGAGGAUCGCGGAACCGUCGAUUAUAUGAGUUCAAUUCCAGCAAAAUAGAACACCCAAC